CGACAAAGCGUAUGCGUGUCCAUUGCAGAAUAACCAAACUUGCGUAGGAAAAUGUAAAUGCAAACCCGGCUACUACAGAAAUUUAAUCGGAGAAUGUAUUUCCGAAGAAGAUUGCCGAAGAUGUCCCGGAAAACAUGAAUAUUAUUCUUGUGGCGGAGCAUGCG